rnacentral:rRNA from 1 species
GAUGAACGCUGGCGGCGUGCCUAAUACAUGCAAGUCGAGCGAACAGACGCUUCGGUUUCUUCUCUUACGGUAGCGGCGGGUAACACGGUGACAAGUUGAUCACCACCUUGUAAUACUGGGGGAAAUUCGGGACUAAUGCGCAAUAGCCCGACGAUAUAUUGAACGGCAGGGUUCAAUAGUUUAAGACGGUUUUGCUGUCCCCUAUCUAUGGAUCCGCGCGGCAUUAGCUAGUUGGUAAGGUAACGGAUUACCAAGGGGACGAUGCGUAGCCGACCUGAGAGGGUGAUCGGCCACCCUGGAGGUGAGACACGGUCCAGACUCCUACGAGAGGGAGCAGUAGGGAAUCGUCCGCAAUGGGCGAAAGCCUGACGCAGCAACGGCGAGUGAGUUAUGGAGACCUCCGGUGCGUAAUACUCUGUUAUUAGGGGAGAACAACUUUGUAAGGAAACAAGGACGUCUUGACGGUACCUAUAGAGAAAGCAACGGCUAACUACGUG